UACGUAGGGUGCAAGCGUUGUCCGGAAUUAUUGGGCGUAAAGAGCUCGUAGGCGGUCUGUUGCGUCGGCUGUGAAAACCCGGGGCUCAACCCCGGGCCUGCAGCCGAUACGGGCAGACUAGAGUUCGGCAGGGGAGACUGGAAUUCCUGGUGUAGCGGUGAAAUGCGCAGAUAUCAGGAGGAACACCGGUGGCGAAGGCGGGUCUCUGGGCCUGUUCUGACGCUGAGGAGCGAAAGCGUGGGGAGCGAACAGG
rnacentral:rRNA from 1 species